rnacentral:tRNA from 1 species
GGUCUGGUAGUUCAGUUGGUUAGAAUAUCUGCCUGUCACGCAGGGGUCGCGGGUUCGAGUCCCGUCCAGACCGC